rnacentral:lncRNA from 1 species
UAUUGCCGAAGUAGCAGAAACAGCGGUCGAUCCACUCCUCGGGACUUGAUAUAGUACGGGCAGCAGCCGAACUUGGCUUCUUCAACAACUAGCGCACGUCGCCCGACAGCCAGAAUAAUUCUCACAAUACGUCAGCUCGGUGCAUAAGGAUUCGUCUUGAUCUCAGCAUGGAGGAAAAUUAGUAUCCGAACUUCAUAUGGAUUCUGGACACGGACGAGGUCAAUGAAACAAGGUCGAGUCUGGGACUGGCGACAGCUGGUGCGGGCGACUCGAGGCAAGGCAAGACAAACCGGCGACGAGGUCGACCCCGAGCACUACUCGGUCAGGCGCCGGUGGAUGCAGGGUGCAGCCAAGCCACGACGCAGCGGAUGCAGGCGUGGCGGCGGCUCAAGACACGGCGCCUCGGACGGGAAGCGCAACAGACGUGCAGUUGACUCAGCGGCUCAGCGACGGGCUGAAGCGGCGGUUAAGCGCCGGUGACGAGGCGAGUCAGGCUCCGACUUGCUGCGGCGGAGCGCGGUGUGGUCAGUCUGGCUCGAAGUUGGAGAUGGCGGGGGCGAGCACACGCGAUCCCGAGCCUGGUGGCGGCGCAACGGUAACCGACGCGGCAACAACACACGUGCAUGCCUACUAUGGUUUGCAGAUCAGUUGGGUGGCUGCCAUAGAUUUCUUUUUGUAAACGUCUCUGUGAUAAUGAUCUUGUAGUGGUACUUUAUUCAUUUGAUUGGUUUGGUCUUUGGUGGUGGCUGGUCAGAUCGUAAGCAGUCUGGAGUUUUGAGCACAAAGAUUAGAUGUAUAGUCGCUUCUCGUCUAAUAGUACUUGGUCAACAAAAAUUGCUCGAUCCUUUCUCCAUCUCCGCAGAUCACAGGACGCAGUAGUGCACAGAUGAACCCUAAUAUCUCUCAAUCUUGGACGAACCUCGUAUAUAUU